GCUAACGAUUUUGUGAGCCCUGACAUUAUUUCACAUUUCUUGCUGUACAGCAUGUAUAACUUUGUUUAUUCCCAUUUUUAUUGACAGAGUGCUCACAAAUCGCCUCAUGUCUAUAAUGAACAUGGAUGGGACUGGUGACAAGCUGCCUUUCAGAAGAAUGGAACUUUAUAAGGUCACAAUAGGUGCCAUCCAGAAGUCACAACCCGGCAUCACAGAAGCUUCCAUUGGUAGCCUUACGGCCAACCAUUUGAGCGCUGCACCGGACAGAAGAGGGGGCACUGGACGCCGGAAGGCACUUGAGAGCCCUGGAGGUCUGAACCCAUAGUGCCC